rnacentral:tRNA from 1 species
AGUGACUAAGGCAUUCGGCUGCUAACCAAAAGGUCGGUGGUUCGAACUCACCAGUCACUU